rnacentral:rRNA from 1 species
AGUGAACGCUGGCGGCGUGCUUAACACAUGCAAGUCGAACGAGAACGGAUUAUAGCUUGCUAUAAUUGUCAGCUAAGUGGCGCACGGGUGAGUAAUAUAUAGGUAACGUGCCCCAAAGAAGAGGAUAACAGAUGGAAACGCCUGCUAAGACUCUAUAUGCCUUUAUGACAUAAGUCAGCAAGGGAAAUAUUUAUAGCUUUGGGAUCGGCCUGUACAGUAUCAGUUAGUUGGUGAGGUAAUGGCUCACCAAGACAAUGACGCUUAACUGGUUUGAGAGGAUGAUCAGUCACACUGGAACUGAGACACGGUCCAGACUCCUACGGGAGCAGCAGUGGGAAUAUUGCACAAUGGACGAAAGUCUGAUGCAGCAACGCCGCGUGGAGGAUGACACAUUUCGGUGCGUAAACUCCUUUAUAUAGGAAGAUAAUGACGGUACUAUAUGAAUAAGCACCGGCUAAC